CUACCUAAAAGACUGGAAUAACCUGCCGAAAGGCAAGCUAAUACCGGAUAAGCCUUCGGACUCUUCGGAAUCUGCAGGAAAAGGUGGCCUCUGUAUACAAGCUAUCACUUUUAGAUGAGCCCGCGGCCCAUCAGCUAGUUGGCGGGGUAAUGGCCCACCAAGGCUACGACGGGUAGCUGGUCUGAGAGGACGAUCAGCCACACUGGAACUGAGACACGGUCCAG
rnacentral:rRNA from 1 species